rnacentral:lncRNA from 1 species
GAUACAUGGGACCUAUGGGGAGUUUCACAACUCUUAUGAUUGAAGAACUCUAGUGGGUAAGGGGGCAGGGAAGUGAAAAGGCCACUGCCCCCCAUAUUGCAGUCGGAAAAGGCAUGUCACCAGCAAGUAUACUCUCCUGCAAGCCAUCUAAAUCGGUGAGGAAAAAAAGACUUGUUUCGGGAUAUCACGGAGCUCACUCUUCAUGAUCCCAUAGCUGGAAGAAGUUUUUCUGGACUCUGAAAUUCCUAUUCGAAAGCGAUCGGAACAAGCAUUUUUAAUGCAUGCGAAACCAUAUUUUUUUCGUUAAUUGGACUGCUGCAUUAAGUUUUAAGUAUCCGAUUUUCAGUUUUAAGUAUCCAAGUUGUAAGUGAUUGAAAUUUUUGGAGCUGCUUGCACCUACACACUGCUCUAUUGCAGCCCUGUAAAAUUAUGUGGGUGUUCUGUGACAAAGGCAACUUACAAGACCUCUGUUGAACCAAUUCAUAACGCCAACCAAAAUUCACAAUGCUAUACCGGGUCUUGCUGGAUUCUCCGGACAUAACAUGUGCACAAUGUCACAAAACAUAAAACGUGGCCACCAUAAACAGAGGCGCCUUAAUUCAGGUUGCCGCCACGCUUCCAUGUGAUUUUAGACCAAAGCUCUUUAGCUUUUAUGGCAUGUGUCAGACUUGAGAGUAAGUGGUCCUUUUUCUCGCCAGUCAGGAUUGUUUGCAAAGCCUUACUGUGCACAAACGAGAGGGCAUUUCAUUGUGUGCCACCACCUGUCAUGCUCUUCAUUUGCCACUCAGUGACUGCAAGAACGCUAAAUGAGGUUUCUAUGCGCAGCAUGCACAGAGUACAAAACUGUGCUGCAUUGCACUGUGAUACGAUACGCGUUUACCCUCUAAUGCUCCUGCGGCAUUGCGUGUGCCACCUUAUACCCUCUGAGCUGUGCACUUUCAGCUGAUGAAAAAGCUCUCAGUCGCGCAAUGUGCAGUUUGAAAGGUGCAUUGGCUAAUGGCCACAGGUAACUAAACCACUUUGGUUUUGGUUUACUACCUCUGUUUUCCUUUGCGGCAGCAGUAAAAAUUUCCUUGUAAUGGAAUUGUGGAGCAACACUUAUUUAUCUCGAGAUAAAAGAAAUAUUCUUAGUUUUGUAAGAACGGGAAGCUAGAAAAGUUAAAUAUUUGGUUAUUAUUGAGAAUAUGCUUAUAUUGAUGUGUAAUCUUAUACAACAAUAUCUGCAAAGUUCUCUUUUAAAUGUUCUGUAUUUCUAAGUUAUUGGGAAGCUAUGUGUUUUGACAGUAGACUUGUUUCUCAUGUCAAAGCCACCAAAGAUCUACAGUUUAUCAAAGGCUGGCUCAAGCGGCUACUUGCAGGGUCAGCAAAGUGUUUCAUUGUUGGGGAGGGUUGUGUGAAUGAAUUGUUGGUGAAAGUGCUUCGAGUUAAAUUGAAGUGAAGCAAAACAAGAGCAAGGAAUUCAUAGUAUUCAUGUAUUGGAGAACGUGUGUGUGUGUCUGUGUGGACAAAUGAAGGCUUCAGUGCACAAGAAGCAAUCUGGAAUGUCACACUACAUUACCAUCUUGUUGAAGUUUGCGUGAGAGGGGUCGACAACAUACUAGGUGCUUACACUAUCGGUGAUAGUUUUGGCUUCUCCCAAAUCAUCGUUUUCUGCCGAUUUUGUGUUAUGGUUCUCACCAUUUUCUCUCACUCUUCUGUAUCACGAUGGUGUGAAGAUUAUAGCUUCAUAUUUACAAAUUUUGAUGAAUACAAGGUUAGAAAGAGUGUCAGGCUUGUGCAUGGUACUUUGCCGUGCUUGUGACUGCAGUGCCUUGUGGUAUGCUGUUGUUUAGGCCCACCUGUUUUUGCACGGUGGUGUUCUGUACAUUAGAUGUGUGCUGUGAUCAGGUACAUAUCGGUCUGACUGCCUGUGCAGACAUAUCAGACUGUGAGGCAUCAGUAGUCAAAGUUUCUUUCAUGGCAGUGCAAGUUUGGGGUUGAUGUUUCAAUGUAAGUUGUACACUUAUGGAAGACAUGUCUCAUCUAUUUCACUCCAAUACAUUACGUUCAGGCAGUACUAGUUGGGCAAAGUUUCUUUUUUGCUGCACUCACAUCAUGUUUGUGAAGCUGUUAUUUUACAACACGGCUGUUUGUAAGCAUACUGCUAUCAGUGCAAUCAAAGCAUGAUGUCUUGGGAUUACGGUGAAAUCAAAAAGGUUUGGCGUAACAGUGAUAGAAUUGUGUUAGAUCUUAACAACAGCACAGAAAAUAUGUGGCCAAGUGAAGGCUACAGAUGACACUCUGACUUUCAACUGAGAUUGAUUGCAGAAAUGCAAGAAAAUACAAGAAAAUCACAUCGACAACAGUAAUGAUAUAUAAGGGAACCUACAUCACAUGCGUCGUGCAUUCACAUAGGACAAAAAGCUUAAUUGUUUUGAUAACAAAGCGAUAGAUGGCAUGCUGGCGUAAUCCAUGUGUAAUCAAGCAAUCUCUGGUGCCUGUUGUUUCCUACGUACGUAAUCUGGGAACUGGUUCACCCCAACACCAGGCACUGAUUGAAUAGUGCUCUGUAGUCUCACACAUGCUGCUUGAAGGGCUAAGUGCCCGCAAGAUUUAACAUGUCUACUAAUUUGUCUAAAUAAUACUCUACUAAUUGACAGAGUAAGAAACAAUACUGACAGCAAAGCCUGGUUUUUAAAUAAGCUCAGAACACUAGAUGUAACGAUUUGUGGUUCAAUGUCAGUGCCCUCCAUCUGGUAAUAAAUCGCUGUGUGCAGUGCCUUUGUUCUUUUGUAUGUACAUCUGUGUUGUAGUAUUUGAGUCUGAAUGUGCAGAAAGUUUAGGCUAAAAUAUGGUGCUUGGUUCAUCUUUGCUGCAUAUAUUGCAGUGUCUGUAGUAUGUCCAAGUUUUCAGGUUCAAAUUGCGGCUCUGGCAAGCACACUUUGAUUGCGUUCAUGUGGCAAGCUUGAGACAAAUGCAACCCCCAUCCCAUUUUCAUUUAGUAACUUCCGCAGCGUAUUAAUUUAGAGAUGAAAAGUCUCAUUUAAUUUUCGAUUGACCAAAGUCAUCGCUUGUUGCCUCCGCACGUCAUUAGUGUGUGAGCAGCAAGAUAUUCAUGUAGCAGCGGCACUUUAUAUUUAUUGUCAUUUUUGUGAUUUGCAAACCCACGGUGGUCCUGCUGAAAUCUUUUAAUUUAGGCUUAUCAGUUCAGUUUGUUGCAUGUGCGCAGCAAUAAUGAAUGCUGUAGCCACAUUGAGAUGGCACCACCACCCACAUCUAGUUCUUUGUUAAUUCCCCUGUUUGAAAGGAUAGGGCCACAAGCCAGCCGAGAUUUGUCACGUUUUCUGUGGCAUAACAAAGCAAAAUAUGGUUGUGUCGAUUUUGCUUGUCAGUACUUAGUGUUAUUACACCUAGACGGCACCAUAUGAGUUUGCAUUAGCGUUUCAUACUUUCCUGCCGUACUAAAAAACUAGUUACUACCACGCAGUGCACCCUUUCUUAGAGUUAGUGUUGCGACACACACUAAUGUAGGUGUUUUAUGCUACACUAAAACUUGCUGCUAUCGAAGUGAAGGGUAGAGCAUUGUGUAUCCCUAGAUACAUAAAAACAACAGGAAUGGGAAGGGAAAUACAACAGCUCAAAGCAAAAGUAUGCAUAUCAUGAAGACUGAACUAAUACUUUCUCAGCAGCAAAAUGUGAUAGCCAUGUGGCCACUGCAUCAGACACUUAUUAGGCUGGGAAGAAAUGCGCAACUUCAAUGGAGGCUCUGCAUUGGAGCCAUUGUUUCUAGCUCUUUCCUGGCAAUCUCAUCGGAAGAAAAAGCUUUUUGAGGUAACCAACUUGACUGGGCAUCACGUGCUGUUACGCUGUGGUGUGGUGUUGUAGCCUCAUAUCUGCAAAAUGCUCUUAAGUGAACUUUAAAGGCUCUCUCUAGUGGGAACUCUGUAAUGAUUCACUUAAAUGCACACUUUGUGUUCUAUGGCUGAUGGCCUGACGCAAAAAAGGUCUUCGCAAUGAGGAUUUACGGUGUGCAGCAUGACUUGAGAACUACUGGCAACUUAGGUAUUCAAAGUUUUUAUGUUGUUUCCACAUUUUCGCUCCCUUUUGAGCUUACGCUGACACACUGAAUUGUGUGUACUUUAUGUUUAGAUGUUGAUAUUGAGUGGUGUAGCUAUCUAUACUUACAUAUGCAAAUGAACUGCUUUUAUAUUUUGAAUUAUUGCGAAAGCUGUUAUGUACGUGCAGCUUUAUCAUGACGGGUCGUCAGUCAUUGUUUGGUCAUUCUUACAUAGUUAUGACUUUUGCGCGUCUUUCAUUUGCACUUGAAGGCCUACACAUUAUGCAAAUCAACGUGUGAUAUGGGAGAGGGAAAUAUAUAGGUAUCUUUACUAAGCUGAGCACGGCAUGUAUAUUUUUAUUGCUUUCAAGUGGCAGCUGUUGCAAUUGAACAUUGGGCAUGUCACUGCUCUCCCCAUGUCUCUGCAGCUGCUGUGCUUGUCUCACUUAUUGCGGUGACAUGCAGCACAGUAUCAUUGACUGGGUUGGUUGGUUGGUGCUUGUGCAAACAUAUUGGGCGUGCUACGAUAAUGCACAUUACACGAUUCCGUUUUCGAAAGUGUUGCUCAUUCAAAGAUUUGUUGGACUGGUGUCUGUGAUAUGUCUUCUUGGAAACGGGGCAAUGACUGGUGGGCACAGUUACACACAACAGCGUAACUUCUUUUAAUACUUUUGUCGGUACGAACCACAAGCUGCGGUUCCCCACUGAUCGUAGCAGGUGUUCUAAGUAGAAAACCUGCACAAAAGCAGGGUGCACCGGACAAAAGUUGGAAUGGCCUGCACUGGAAGCAGCACUCUUUCACGGUAACAGUGGCACUAGCAGGCCUUGUUCUUAACCACUCAUAAAAGCUCUAUCCAUGAUUACAAUACUUCUCUCCCGAUGUAGGCACACCUGGUUUAAAAGAAAAAAAAAAAAAGAAACCUAGCAGACAAGCUGUCAAACUCUCAAAUGAAACUCGACGUAGCAGUUGCUGUCGGUUUAAUCUCUAAAGCCACUGUUCUGUGUGCCACCUGCUGCAAAUGCAAAAGACAGAAAUAUUUUAAGAUAGGGUAGAUGUGGCAGUGUCUUUGUUACAGCAGUGCAUCAUUAGUGACAAACUUGAUUGAAUGCAUUAUAGCCACUUAUUAGUUGUGCAUAAUUUGCUGAUGAACUCUCUAUUAUGUCCAAAUUCGUUUCAGGCAGAUGCAUUCCUGGAAAGAAAUGCUUUGAUAUUCCUUUUAAUACUUUUCUGAAAAAUGGUAAGCAUAAGGCAGAGCCACCAUUUUAUUUUGUGACAGAAUUUCUCAAUGAAUUCAUCUCUGGGCUUAUCUUGAAAUGGCUGCACUUGUGCACUUGUAGCCGCCGCGGUGGUCUAGUGGUUACGAUGCUCAGCUGCCAACUGAAAAGGUGGGGGUUCGACCCUGGCUGUCGCAUUCUGAUUGAGGCAAAAUGCAUGAGGCCCAUGUGCUCCAUGUUAAGGUGUGCUCCAUAUUUAGGUGAAGCCAUGAGGCUUCAUAUUUAGGUGCACAUUGAAGAACCUCGGGUGGUUUAAAUUUCCGAAGCCCUCCACUACUGCGUGCCUCAUUAUAUUGUGGUUUUGGCACGGAAAAAAAACCAGCAAUUAUUAUUAUUAAUGAGCACUAGCAACUUGUGUAAAAUAUUACUUACCAAUUUUUGGUUGUAUUAUUUGUUUACAAGUGUUUGAAGUGCUUCCACUAUUAACCAGCUUAAAAAAAAAGAAUUUUAUUUCCCAAUUGCAGUUCCUAUGGCUAUUUGAAGCAGGUGGUGCAAUUGCUGCUAAGAGGAAAGUAUAAUUGUGAGAAAUAGCUGCUUAUGAUAGUUCUUCAUGACAAGCCAGGCAGGUGUGCCUUAACAGUGAAAAGAACGUUUAGCAUAGAACCCCUCUCAUAUAUAGUAGACUUGUCCAGCUCUAAGUUCUUGCAUCGCCUUGUAACAUUUGACUCUCGGGCUUAACUUAUCAAAGGCUUUGAGAGGCCUUGACACAGAAGAGGCCCUUAGAAAGCCUUAUGAAAUGUGCCGUCUUACCUUCAUCUAAAAUUAUUAAACCAUGGUCCGUACAAGAGACGUUCCACAUUGCUGGUACUCUAAACCUUGGGGAAAGUGUUGGGAAGCUCUUCAGAAGGCUUUCAACACCAUCCAACAGAAAUCUUUCGCGGUUCUCUCAUGUUGCUUUUUUUUUGUCCACUUUUAUCACAGCUUCAUGUUCCACCCCUUGCUUUGUCAUGGUUGUUACCCUUUGUGCUUAUAUGUGCAUCCUAUGAGUGACAGUCGCAACGAUAUUCACCUGGAACUGAAUGCCUUCACACUCAUAUUUUAUUUUGAGUCCUGUUGUUUGCACCACAGCUUUUGUCUUGAUUGCAUUUUGUUGAGCCCAGCAUGUUCGAGAAGUGCAUACUGUUUCAUGAUGAAGGUAGCACGACAGUACAGAUGGUACUUGCAGCUGAAAUUUAUUGAAACAAAAUAAAAACAUAGGUGCAAACCAACUGUGCAGCCAAAACACGACAUUGAUCACUUCAUGCAAACUGCAUGCGCGUGUACAAAUGUGGGAAUUUGUUUGUUUAUUCAUUUUCUUGCAGUGUUAACAUGGCAUUACUGCAGAAAUCACAGUACAUAUUCAAAUUGACUAAAAAUGACACAAGCAGAAAUCAGAUAUAAGCAGACCAACAAAACAAAAGUUAUUCAGCAGCACAGUUGUCCUCGGAUGGCAGUCUAUAUACAUGCCCUCAGAAUUGCAGUCAGUAACAGCUUUAGCUAGUUGUUCCUUGUAGAAACAACGUGCUGUGCGAUAAUUUCAAUGCAUUGCUGAAAAAUUCAUGAAGUAAAGCACUGUGCUAAUGCACUGCAUUUUGUAGACCUUCCAGGUUUGUUUGCAACAUAACACAAGGUAUGGGGGCAGGAGGCCAGCUUUAUUUUGUACCCCAAUUUUUCCAAAAUAAAAAUUGCAUGAAAGAAGCAAUUUUUUCCUGAAUUACUAUCCUCUCUAAGGGGUGCUGCCCAAUGAUUUUUUUUGGUGAGACAUUGCUGCAUGCUGCGAAACAAGUGCAGUGACUCUAUUUUGAACACUCUUAAGCAUAGUACAUAAAUUAGCAUACCAAUGGUCCCAGGCUAUGCAAGCGUACUCCAGUAUAGGUGUGAUGUUAGUAUAUAAUAAAGCAUCUCACAGUUCGUUGUGCAUUGUAAAAGUUUCCCUAAUGAAUUUCAACAUCCCACUUGCCCUUGUAGAGACAUACUCAAGUUCCUUUUUCCAAGUAAAAUCAGAAGAAAAAUAAAUGUCCAGGCGUUUAUAAACUGAAAGUCUUGGAUGUGUUAUUAGAUCUGAAGUAUGUGCGGCACUAACUGGAUAAUGCUUGCGUGUAAAUGAUACACAUGGGCAUUUGUAAGAAUUCAAAUACACGGCCCAUUUUUCUCACCACAGACGAGUGUGGUUUAAGUCUCGCUGCAAAAGGGUUAUAUCUGAAGGACUGUUAAUUCCACAAUGAAUAGUGCAGUCAUCAGCAGGCAUCAAAAUAUCGUAGGCAAUUAUGGCAUCACUCUGGUUGGACAUUCCUGCAUCAAGAAAUGUAAUCUCGCUUCGCAGCAAGCACACAGAGGGCAUCGGUUUCACCAGCAUCCUUUAGUAGAAGCACUUCCAUUAUUUCAAAAACCACUUCAUCCUUGUGUUCCAUAAACUUGUUCGACACCGGUAAGCAUAUACAGAACCCAGUCACAUAGCUAAAUGCAUUCCACAAUUUCGCUAGUAUGUACUCAUGCUCUCUCAGACUGAUGUUUUGGCAGCAUUCUGUCUGGCCUGUGCUUGAGACCUGUGCUUUCCUUGUCGUGAAGGAAGAUCAGUUUUCUAUUGGCGGGAUAGUGAUGGCGUUAUUGCUGACAAUAUUUUGACACUUGCGUUGUAGGUUUGUUUCACCCCACUCCCGCUUUUUUCUUUCUUUAUUGUAGCUUGCAUGAAAAAAUGAAUGUUUUCUUUUGGUGAUUACAUAUGCAGUUGGUCUGUACACAGCUUUUCACGGUUUUUCUUUUUUCAAUACAUUUCAGUUGCGAGUAGGCACUUGUGGUCUCUUGUUUUACUCAUUCUUUUGUUUCGGGCUUCCUCCAUGUCAUCAUGAAACCGUACCAACCAGCCCAGAUAUCAACCUUGCCGUUCUCUAGUUCUUCCCCAUGACAUGUAAUCACAAUACGUUUAUCUUUUGGAGUGUGCUACGCGUUAUAGCUUGUGCUUUACAGUGCAUGUGUGAUAUUUUCAAACCCGUUCUUCAUUGCUAUGUAAAUAGCUUUUUCACAUUUUCCAUGCUGCUAUUGUCAACCUAUCUUCUAUUGAUGGCUGUCAUUUAGGAUUUUGCCUUCUGCACCAUUUACUAGGGUUCAGCUUUGGUGUUAGUGGUGACCUUGCAGCUGAGCCCAGAAACUGUCGGGAACCACAUGCACAGGCAUUGUGAUGCAAGUUACUACAAUGUACAAUGCAUUUAUGUAUGACUUUAUGUCCAUUAGAGAAUAAACACUGUUGUGCUGAAAAAUUA